UCUCCGGUAGCUCAGUUGGAAGAGCAUUCGCCUUUUAAGCGAAAGCGCACUGGUUCGAGUCCAGUUCGGGGAA
rnacentral:tRNA from 1 species